rnacentral:tRNA from 1 species
GUCGCCCGGACGGGCCGGUUGGCCGGACGUUAUGGCGGUCCCGUGGCCGCGCUUGGCCGCAGGUUCGAGUCCUGGGGGUGGCACC